rnacentral:rRNA from 1 species
GACGAACGCUGGCGGCGUGCUUAACACAUGCAAGUCGAACGGAAAGGCCCUGCUUUUGUGGGGUGCUCGAGUGGCGAACGGGUGAGUAACACGUGAGUAACCUGCCCUUGACUUUGGGAUAACUUCAGGAAACUGGGGCUAAUACCGGAUAGGAGCUCCUGCUGCAUGGUGGGGGUUGGAAAGUUUCGGCGGUUGGGGAUGGACUCGCGGCUUAUCAGCUUGUUGGUGGGGUAGUGGCUUACCAAGGCUUUGACGGGUAGCCGGCCUGAGAGGGUGACCGGCCACAGUGGGACUGAGAUACGGCCCAGACUCCUACGGGAGGCAGCAGUGGGGAAUAUUGCACAAUGGGCGGAAGCCUGAUGCAGCAACGCCGCGUGCGGGAUGACGGCCUUCGGGGUGUAAACCGCUUUCGCCUGUGACGAAGCGUGAGUGACGGUAAUGGGUAAAGAAGCACCGGCUAACUACG